rnacentral:rRNA from 1 species
UACGUAGGUGACAAGCGUUUGUCCGGAUUUACUGGGCGUAAAGAGCGCGCAGGCGGUCGUUCAAGUCGAGUGUGAAAGCCCCCGGCUCAACUGGGGAGGGUCAUUCGAUACUGAUCGACUCGAAGGCAGGAGAGGGAAGUGGAAUUCCCGGUGUAGUGGUGAAAUGCGUAGAUAUCGGGAGGAACACCAGUGGCGAAGGCGACUUCCUGGCCUGUUCUUGACGCUGAGGCGCGAAAGCUAGGGGAGCAAACGGGG